CUCUUCACAUGGAGAAAGGGUAGUGCCUGCCAACCAAUGCCAAAGUGAUAGACACUCAUUGAAAAAGAAAAAAAAAAACUUGGCUAGUGACUUGUGUCUGGUGAUAGAAGAAGAAAGAAGGCGCAAAACGGAAAAGAGGAAGAAGGAAAAUGCAGAUGAGGAAGAAGAAAAAAAGGAAGUGCAAGGAUACAAAGAGGAAAGCUUUAAGACAAAUAGCUCAAACUCAACAACAAAAGUAAGAUGAAAUCCAAAAUUUCUCUAUGAUGUUUUCUUUUAGAAUGUAUGGAAUUAUUAUGUUGCACAUUAAGGAUAUUUUUAUUGAAUUAUGAAGUAACUAUUCAAUUUAUUUGUUUUUAUUUUUUGGAAAAAAAAUUGUCUAACAGUAUAUGGAGUUAAGAGUAUUUUUGUGGUGUUAAAGUGAUAGAAUGACUUUGUAUAUAUGAAAGUAGAGACUUCAUCUUUACAUAGUCUAAAAUUUUGCUA